AGUCAGAGGCGAUGAAGGGCGUGCUAAUCUGCGAUAAGCGCCGGUAAGGUGAUAUGAACCGUUAUAACCGGCGAUACCCGAAUGGGGAAACCCAGUGUGACUCGUCACACUAUCAUUAACUGAAUCCAUAGGUUAAUGAGGCGAACCGGGGGAACUGAAACAUCUAAGUACCCCGAGGAAAAGAAAUCAACCGAGAUUCCCCCAGUAGCGGCGAGCGAACGGGGAGGAGCCCAGAGCCUGAAUCAGCAUGUGUGUUAGUGGAAGCGUCUGGAAAGGCGCGCGAUACAGGGUGACAGCCCCGUACACAAAAGCGCAUGUGCUGUGAGCUCGAUGAGUAGGGCGGGACACGUGGUAUCCUGUCUGAAUAUGGGGGGACCAUCCUCCAAGGCUAAAUACUCCUGACUGACCGAUAGUGAACCAGUACCGUGAGGGAAAGGCGAAAAGAACCCCGGCGAGGGGAGUGAAAAAGAACCUGAAACCGUGUACGUACAAGCAGUGGGAGCACAGGUUUACCUGUGUGACUGCGUACCUUUU
rnacentral:rRNA from 1 species